CCCUUAGAUGUCCUGGGCCGCACGCGCGCUACACUGAUGCAUUCAACGAGUAUUUCCUUGGCCGAGAGGCCUGGACAAUCUUUUAAACCUGCAUCGUGAUAGGGAUAGAUUAUUGCAAUUAUUAAUCUUGAACGAGGAAUUCCUAGUAAACGCAAAUCAUCAAUUUGCAUUGAUUACGUCCCUGCCCUUUGUACACACCGCCCGUCGCACCUACCGAUUGAAUGGUCCGGUGAAAUCUCGGGAUUGUGGCCAGUUCACUUUAUUGGGAGUUGGCUGCGAGAACUUGCUUAAACCUUAUCAUUUAGAGGAAGGUGAAGUCGUAACA
rnacentral:rRNA from 1 species